GCACUGCUGAGGAGUCCCAAAAUAGGACGAAACGAUCGUCCAAUGC
rfam:Schistosoma mansoni, Puerto Rico, WGS project CABG01000000 data, contig: 0037